GAUGAACGCUGGCGGCGUGCCUAAUACAUGCAAGUCGAGCGAACAGAUGAGGAGCUUGCUCCUCUGACGUUAGCGGCGGACGGGUGAGUAACACGUGGAUAACCUACCUAUAAGACUGGGAUAACUUCGGGAAACCGGAGCUAAUACCGGAUAAUAUAUUGAACCGCAUGGUUCAAUAGUGAAAGACGGUUUUGCUGUCACUUAUAGAUGGAUCCGCGCCGCAUUAGCCAGUUGGUAAGGUAACGGCUUACCAAGGCAACGAUGCGUAGCCGACCUGAGAGGGUGAUCGGCCACACUGGAACUGAGACACGGUCCAGACUCCUACGGGAGGCAGCAGUAGGGAAUCUUCCGCAAUGGGCGAAAGCCUGACGGAGCAACGCCGCGUGAGUGAUGAAGGUCUUCGGAUCGUAAAACUCUGUUAUUAGGGAAGAACAAAUGUGUAAGUAACUAUGCACGUCUUGACGGUACCUAAUCAGAAAGCCACGGCUAACUACGUG
rnacentral:rRNA from 1 species